UGGGGAAUUUUGCACAAUGGGGGAAACCCUGAUGCAGCGACGCCGCGUGAUUUAGAAGGCCUUCGGGUUGUAAAAAUCUUUUCUAUGGGAAGAAAAUGACAGUACCAUAGGAAUAAGGACCGGCUAAUUACGUGCCAGCAGCCGCGGUAAUACGUAGGUGGCAAGCGUUGUCCGGAUUUAUUGGGCGUAAAGCGAGCGCAGGCGGUCAAUUAAGUCUGAUGUGAAAGCCCCCGGCUCAACCGGGGAGGGUCAUUGGAAACUGGUUGACUUGAGUGCAGAAGAGGGGAGUGGAAUUCCAUGUGUAGCGGUGAAAUGCGUAGAUAUAUGGAGGAACACCAGUGGCGAAGGCGACUCUCUGGUCUGUAACUGACGCUGAGGCUCGAAAGCGUGGGUAGCAAACAGG
rnacentral:rRNA from 1 species